AUGUGCAGCGCCACGCCACGCCAUGCCGUGUGCUCCUCCGCCGCGAGCCGCCUUCCCUCCCCUCCCCUCCUACACUCGCACACUGUGCCGCGCUGUGCUCCCCGGAACGUGUUGACUAAUGCUUCGCCAGCCAGGUGCCCCCUCCACGCCUCGCCCAUCUCUUCCCCCAAUCGGACAGCUGGCCCCGCCCGCGAGGGUGGGUUUCAUUCACCGUGCGUGCGUGCGAGGAGUUGGAGCCCAGGAGGAGGAGGAGGAGGGAGAGUGCUCGCCGUCGCCGGGCCCCUUGGUCGUCGGCUCAUCGCCGUCCCGUCCUCGCCGUCGCGCCGAUUGCGUGGACUUUUGCAACUAGUACUGUAA
rnacentral:rRNA from 1 species